rnacentral:rRNA from 1 species
ACGCUGGCGGCGUGCCUAAUACAUGCAAGUAGAACGCUGAAGGAGGAGCUUGCUCUUCUGGAUGAGUUGCGAACGGGUGAGUAACGCGUAGGUAACCUGCCUGGUAGCGGGGGAUAACUAUUGGAAACGAUAGCUAAUACCGCAUAAUAGUAGAUGUUGCAUGACAUUUGCUUAAAAGGUGCAAUUGCAUCACUACCAGAUGGACCUGCGUUGUAUUAGCUAGUUGGUGGGGUAACGGCUCACCAAGGCGACGAUACAUAGCCGACCUGAGAGGGUGAUCGGCCACACUGGGACUGAGGCACGGCCCAGACUCCUACGGGAGGCAGCAGUAGGGAAUCUUCGGCAAUGGACGGAAGUCUGACCGAGCAACGCCGCGUGAGUGAAGAAGGUUUUCGGAUCGUAAAGCUCUGUUGUAAGAGAAGAACGAGUGUGAGAGUGGAAAGUUCACACUGUGACGGUAUCUUACCAGAAAGGGACGGCUAACUACGUGCCAGCAGCCGCGGUAAUACGUAGGUCCCGAGCGUUGUCCGGAUUUAUUGGGCGUAAAGCGAGCGCAGGCGGUUAGAUAAGUCUGAAGUUAAAGGCUGUGGCUUAACCAUAGUACGCUUUGGAAACUGUUUAACUUGAGUGCAAGAGGGGAGAGUGGAAUUCCAUGUGUAGCGGUGAAAUGCGUAGAUAUAUGGAGGAACACCGGUGGCGAAAGCGGCUCUCUGGCUUGUAACUGACGCUGAGGCUCGAAAGCGUGGGGAGCAAACAGGAUUAGAUACCCUGGUAGUCCACGCCGUAAACGAUGAGUGCUAGGUGUUAGACCCUUUCCGGGGUUUAGUGCCGCAGCUAACGCAUUAAGCACUCCGCCUGGGGAGUACGACCGCAAGGUUGAAACUCAAAGGAAUUGACGGGGGCCCGCACAAGCGGUGGAGC